CGGAACACGUACAGAACCUUCCUUUAAGCGGGGGAUAGCCCAUAGAAAUGUGGAUUAAUACCCCAUAGUAAUGCUGGUUGGCAUCAACUGGUAUUUAAAGAUUUAUCACUUAAAGAUGGCUGUGCGGCUGAUUAGGUAGUUGGUGUGGGUAACGGCCCACCAAGCCAGCGAUCAGUAACUGGUGUGAGAGCACGACCAGUCACACGGGCACUGAGACACGGGCCCG
rnacentral:rRNA from 1 species